UAAUUAGCCGGAAGUAUACGAUUUCUACGAAUCAUGAUUGACAGUUGCAAAAUUGAAAGUUGCCGCUAUUAAUGCAACAUCAACAACAAGGCAACAAGUUGUGGAGACUCCAAGGUUACUUACCGGUUGGAUGACAAAGGCUGAAGAAUGCUUUUCAGGAUCUGGCUGCAUGCCGGUAAUGUUCUCCACUAGGCCAACAUCGCCAUUCAUGAAAUGUGGAAAGCUUAGAGAGAUGGGGAAACCAUAAUAACAGUCCGUGACGUCAAUCAGGCCGACCGGCUGGCAAUCGCCUGCACGCAGAACAAGAAGAAGAAGAAGAAAUUUGUUGUUUUGCAGC